UCAAACGACAACAGCCGCUCCAACCACAACAACUGAAGCCCCAACGACAACUACAGGUGCUCCAACAACCACGGCAGCUCCAACCACAACAUCAGCUGCUCCAACCACAACCACAGCAUCUAUAAUAGUUUCUACAACAGCAACAACUACCGUUAGCACAACUGAAAUGAAAAAGGUUGUACGCCGAAUGACCUUUAGGUCUCCUGAUGAUAUCUUUACCAGCAAUCUUGAAAUUGAUUCUUCAGUUGCUUUCAGCCAACGGUCCCAAAUUUUGUGGAAUCAUCUUCAUCCCCUCUACAAACAAACAUUUUCGUCAUUCUUGGGAAUGAUUAUUGUCUCAUUCAGAAGAGGAUCAGUUAUCAACACGCUGGACCUCGAAUUUCAAGCAACAGAUGUUCCUAGUAAUCAAGCAAUCAAAAAUGUUUUAAUCAAUGAGGCACCAAACAUAACUGAAUUCUCGGUGGAAGCGUCAUCGGUUGCUGUUGAAGACUAUGGUAAGCAAAGUA